rnacentral:tRNA from 1 species
GGUCCCGUGGUGUAGCGGUUAACAUGCCUCCCUGUCACGGAGGAGACCGCGGGUUCGAUUCCCGUCGGGACCGCCA